AAAAAAGGUAAGCUACUAAGAGCGAAUGGUGGAUGCCUUGACUGGUAAAGGCGAUGAAGGACGUACUAGACUGCGAUAAGCUACGGGGAGCUGUCAAGAAGCUUUGAUCCGUAGAUUUCCGAAUGGGGCAACCCAAUGUAUAGAGAUAUACAUUACCUAUAUAGGAGCGAACGAGGGGAAUUGAAACAUCUUAGUACCCUCAGGAAAAGAAAUCAAUAGAGAUUGUGUCAGUAGCGGCGAGCGAAAGCGCAAGAGGGCAAACCCAGUGCUUGCACUGGGGGUUGUAGGACUGCAAUGUGCAAGAGCUGAGUUUAGCAGAACAUUCUGGAAAGUAUAGCCAUAGAGGGUGAUAGUCCCGUAUGCGAAAAACAAAGCUUAGCUAGCAGUAUCCUGAGUAGGGCGGGACACGAGGAAUCCUGUCUGAAUCCGGGUCGACCACGAUCCAACCCUAAAUACUAAUACCAGAUCGAUAGUGCACAAGUACCGUGAGGGAAAGGUGAAAAGAACUGAGGUGAUCAGAGUGAAAUAGAACCUGAAACCAUUUGCUUACAAUCAUUCAGAGCACUAUGUAGCAAUACAGUGUGAUGGACUGCCUUUUGCAUAAUGAGCCUGCGAGUUGUGGUGUCUGGCAAGGUUAAGCAAACGCGAAGCCGUAGCGAAAGCGAGUCUGAAUAGGGCGCUUAGUCAGAUGCUGCAGACCCGAAACGAAGUGAUCUAUCCAUGAGCAAGUUGAAGCUAGUGUAAGAACUAGUGGAGGACUGAACCCAUAGGCGUUGAAAAGCCCCGGGAUGACUUGUGGAUAGGGGUGAAAGGCCAAUCAAACUUCGUGAUAGCUGGUUCUCUCCGAAAUAUAUUUAGGUAUAGCGUUGUGUCGUAAUAUAAGGGGGUAGAGCACUGAAUGGGCUAGGGCAUACACCAAUGUACCAAACCCUAUCAAACUCCGAAUACCUUAUAUGUAAUCACAGCAGUCAGGCGGCGAGUGAUAAAAUCCGUCGUCAAGAGGGAAACAACCCAGACUACCAGCUAAGGUCCCUAAAUCUUACUUAAGUGGAAAACGAUGUGAAGUUACUUAAACAACCAGGAGGUUGGCUUAGAAGCAGCCAUCCUUUAAAGAAAGCGUAAUAGCUCACUGGUCUAGUGAUUUUGCGCGGAAAAUAUAACGGGGCUAAAGU
rnacentral:rRNA from 1 species